rnacentral:rRNA from 1 species
GACGAACGCUGGCGGCGUGCUUAACACAUGCAAGUCGAACGGUAAGGCCCUUCGGGGUACACGAGUGGCGAACGGGCGAGUAACACGUGGGUGAUCUGCCCUGCACUUCGGGAUAAGCCUGGGAAACUGGGUCUAAUACCGGAUAGGACCACUGCCUGCAUGGGUGGUGGUGGAAAGCUUUUGCGGUGUGGGAUGGGCCCGCGGCCUAUCAGCUUGUUGGUGGGGUGAUGGCCUACCAAGGCGACGACGGGUAGCCGGCCUGAGAGGGUGACCGGCCACACUGGGACUGAGAUACGGCCCAGACUCCUACGGGAGGCAGCAGUGGGGAAUAUUGCACAAUGGGCGCAAGCCUGAUGCAGCGACGCCGCGUGAGGGAUGACGGCCUUCGGGUUGUAAACCUCUUUCAGCACCGACGAAGCGUAAGUGACGGUAGGUGCAGAAGAAGGACCGGCCAACUACGUGCCAGCAGCCGCCGUAA